GGCCGGACGCCGACAUCAACUCAAUCGUCUGGUGCCGCCAGCAGCAACUCCAUCGCCUGGUUCGUCGGGACUGAAGCAGACACCAUCUACAUCCCCCGACGCUGGCCCCAACUCCAUCCUUAAUGCAGGCAUGAACAGAUCUCUUCCCGUGCCUUAGUUUUUGAGGAAUUACUAUGUCAGAUCCACCAUUGUUUGCAUCAUUUUCUGAAGUGCCCAAGUCAAUAAGCUUAGUAUCUCUGGUACUAAUAUGUACCGAACUGAAUGCAGUUAAGGGAUGUGAUUUGUGGUUCCAAGAUAGGCACAUGGAGCUACUCCUUGCAUUCCUUCUACCUGCAGGCUGCAGCGAUGGAGCUACUCCUGGUUUCUCAUUGGCAUUGUGAUGGAGCUUGUACAAGAAAUUAAAGAAGCUCUGGAUUAGUGUAGGCAGUUAAUCUUCUCAAUCAGUACAUACCUACCGUUUACAUGUUGACAGCUUGUAUGAAACCAAUAAUUUAACCAAAUCACCAUGUUAUAAAAGUGACUGCAUGUUUAGUAUUUCCUUUUGUGAUGACUGUAUACUUUUAGUUGAAUGUAUAAUUAGUUCUAACAUUAGCAUGAGUUCUAAAAAAUAUGACAAAUGGUACUUCUCUUCUACUGUCGAUAACACACAAUUGAAAAGAAUAAGAAAUUAACAAAAUCCAUAUGGAACUAUUAAUUAUAUUAUACUGGGUAAUGUUAUAAGAUAUAUGAGGUCCUAUACAGAAUACCUGCUUGUGUUAUAGCUAAACUGAAUCGAAGAGAAGUCAUCUCUGUUUGAAAUGAUUGACAUGUUUAUAAUUUCCAGCAGAGUAAGAAUCAGCCAGCGUGCUAACACUCUUAAUAGUGAUUGUUGACUUGUACUGAAUAGACUCGCCUCCGACAGGGAAGGGCUGAGCACUGGCAGCAGCUUCUUCACAACAGCAAUUUGCUCUCGCCACUUUUAUAUUUUGCAAGCGCCUCAACACAGAGGUCGCCUCCAAAUCCGGGGUUUUUUUAUGGCGAUGAUGACUUGCCGGAGGUUCAUGAUUCACGCACAAAGACGGCUGCAACCCAAUUGAUCAAGCAUGCAUGAUCACCGGAUGAUGUAUGGGUCAUUAUUAUUUGCACUUUGCAACAAUUCUAGAACUUUGCAUUUCAGCAUACUCAAAAUGGAAGUAUGUAUCAGCAAUGGAGGAAUCCACUGGAAGGUAAUGAUGGGACCGAUAGUGCUCAAGUUGGAGGUGAUAGUCAGUAGAAGAUGUCGAAGAGUUGGGAUGUUGGUGUCUUUUGGUUUGCCGAGUAGGAGAUGUGGAAGUGACUGGUGUUUGGUUUCUUUUGAUUCGCAUGUAGUUGCCGUAGAGUUCUUUCCGCUUAGUUUUAAAUUUUGUGUAACUGAUCUUAUGUUCCCUAUGAUACUAAUGUGCUUUUCUUGCAUUUAGUAUGAGGCUGCGCCUAUGAAAUGCUAUAUUGUAUCUUAU